rnacentral:rRNA from 1 species
GAUGAACGCUAGCGGGAGGCUUAAUACAUGCAAGUCGAGCGGUAAUUUAGGAAUAGCAAUAUUUCUGAGCUAGAGCGGCGCACGGGUGAGUAACGCGUACACGACCUGCCCUUUACUGGGGGAUAGCCUUGGGAAACUGAGAUUAAUACCCCAUGGUAUUAUUAUGCUGCAUGGUAUAAUAAUUAAAGCUGAGGCGGUAAAGGAAUGGGUGUGCGUCUGAUUAGCUAGUUGGUAGGGUAACGGCCUACCAAGGCGAUGAUCAGUAGGGGCGGUGAGAGCGUGACCCCCACCACGGUACGU